AGGUUUAGUGGUUUCCUACAUACAUGCUGUACAUGAACAUUUUGAAAAUGAUCUCACCUUUACUUCUUUCCUUCCCUCAACAGUUUCUCUCCCAUUUGUUUGAGAAGGCCUACUCCUGUUACAGAAUAAGUUUAACAAAUAUGUGCUUCAAGGCGUGGAAAAGGUUCAUCUGGAAUAAGCGGAAGGAGGCCAGGGAGUUGACGCUGAAGAUGGAGACAGCUGAGAGGCACUACAUACAGAGGGGCCUGAGGGUCGCACUCUGCAAGUGGGUGGAGUGGGUACAGGUCUGCAAGAGAAGGCAGAACGAUGCCAUGAAGAAGAUCCAGCGAGUGUGGAAUGCUAUCCACUGUAAGAUUGUCAUAGGUGCUUGGCGCUAUGUGGUGCAGGACUCAAAACGGACAAAGGAGUACUUUGAGAGACUGGAGAAUGGUCUGUUAGAGAUGAGCAGUAAGGACUCUGACGUUUCCAUUGGAGAGGGACAUGACGGACUCUCACUGCUACCUUGCAAGCUCUCAAUAAAGGUCUUCCAGAGACUAGAUGUAGGAGACCUGCUGAAAUGUGCAGAAGUGUGUCGGACCUGGAAGGCCAUCGCUCAGACCUGCUCACUGUGGAGUCGGGUCAGUAUAGCUCACACACACCACAAUGAAAGGAACUGA
rnacentral:lncRNA from 1 species